ensembl:lncRNA
ACUUCACCACAGUGGGAAAAGGGUGGCGACAAAUGGAUUCUGCAUAAUCUUCUUAAUGUGACAACUUUCCAUUUCAAACAGGCAGGCACUGAGACAUCAAAGCAGCCAAGUGCCGCCCUGACGUUGAGCCCACCGAGUGCUGAGUGCCGCGUGCCGCGAGGCUGCUGCUGUUGGCUCUGCGUGAUCAGGAGAGCGGAGAUCAAAGGUGCCCAUUAUGUGCUGAAAUACCUGAAGUUGGAAAACACCACAAGAAAGCCAAGGUCAGCCUGGAGAGAGGACCCUGCCAGCUGCACACCCGGGGAGGACUGCUCAGGCAGCUCCACAUGCUGCCAGCCUUGCGUGAAAGGGUUUUUGGCACGACAGUGUUGGCGGCUGCAGUUGCUCCCCAGAGCCUGACAGCAGACUUCAGAGGCCAGAGAAAAAUCUACAUAAGCACAAGGCCAGAGCCUCCUCCAUAUGCAUGACUGGUGAUCAGGAAGCCUUUCAAUAAUGCAUUAGACCAGGACAGAAAACCAAAAAAUGUACUCUGAAGUAGAAACAGACAAAGUAUAAAGCGAGGCACUAGGAAACAGUGACUACAGAAUGAAUGUUAAGGAAGCACCUCAUUGUGCCUUCUCCCCGUGUCUGGGCAGCACAAGGCUUCCUCUCGCACAGGGGCAGCUGCGUUCGUCCUGUGGUGGGCUGCUAAGUCAGAAAUUCAUAGUGUCCCAGCUCCCCACAAAGCAAAGGGCAUCUGUUCUUGGCUGACAUGUAUGGAACCUAACUCUAGACAGGCCGAGGGCAAAUGGCUUCCUCAUUCCACUGGUGGGGGAGUCCUGGUUUGUUUUUGGCUGCUAUAACGGAAUACUAUAGACUGGGUAAUUCAUAAAUGAAAGAAGUUUAUUGGGCUCAUGGUUCUGGAGGCUGGGAAGUCCAAGAACACGGUACCAACAUCCAGUAAGAACCUUCAGGCUGCAUCAUAACAGGAUUUGUGGCCUGGAUUUGUGGCCUGCUGGUCUCAGAGGUUGGUGGCCAGAGACUGGACAGGGUAGGCUUAGAGCUACUUCUUUUCCUUACUAGUAAUGUCCCUGGGCCUGUUUUUUCCUUUGUAAAGUGAGAAUAAAAACCCUGUAGGUUGCUGUGAGGGUGAAAGAGAAUGUGUAAAUUGUUUCAAGAGAAGGUGCAUGAGAAAACACUGCAGGACAGAACCUCACCCCUGAAUUCUGGCUCUCCAGGACUCCCACGGGCACACCGUGGUCCCACUUCCACCUUGGAAUGUGAGGAGGGAGUGGAGGAACCAGCGAGGGGCAGGAGUCAGGCCUUGCACACGCACGCACACACACUUGCAUGAGUGCACAUUCGGAAACACACCCAGACUCAGGCACACACACACACACACACACUGCAUACACUGAAGACUCACAUACACCUUCUCUCUAGACACGAUCAAACUCAGGCACACGUAAACACACUCCCACAGAUGCCCACUCACACACCCUCGCUCACACGGAGCGUGGCCCUCCGACAUGGGCCUUCAUAGCCUGCGGUAGCAGCUUCCUCUCUCCUGGGCUCACGGGUCCCCACCGGGUCUGGCCCCUCCGGCCUGUGUCCCCCGACCCCCAAUCUUUGCGGGAG